rnacentral:rRNA from 1 species
CGAACGGGUGAGUAAUGCGUGACCAACCUGCCCCAUGCUCCAGAAUAGCUCUUGGAAACGGGUGGUAAUGCUGGAUGCUCCAACUUGACGCAUGUCUUGUUGGGAAAGUGUUUAGUGGCAUGGGAUGGGGUCGCGUCCUAUCAGCUUGUAGGCGGGGGUAAUGGCCCACCUAGGCUUCGACGGGUAGCCGGCCUGAGAGGGCGGACGGCCACAUUGGGACUGAGAUACGGCCCAGACUCCUACGGGAGGCAGCAGCC